GCGUCGGUGGUAUAACGGUUAGCAUAGCUGCCUUCCAAGCAGUUUACCCGGGUUCGACUCCCGGCCGACGCA
rnacentral:tRNA from 1 species